GCCAGCAGCCAUAUCACUCUGCAACUCACCACUGCCAACCCACUGAAGCUAAGCAGGUGUGAGCCUGGUCAGUAUCUUGAUGGGAGACCUCCUGGGAAAAACUAAGGUUGCUGCUGGAA
rnacentral:rRNA from 1 species